rnacentral:lncRNA from 1 species
AUUCAUUUAUUUACCGAUUUAUACGUUCUAUCAUAUAAAAUCAGAAAAUUCAUAUAAUUUUUGCAUUAGAAAAGCUAGUUUGGUUAUUCAAUCAUGUUGAGUCCUAAUGCUGAUAUUGCUCAAGUUUACGUAUUGAGGAAACUUCAUAAAGAGAAGAAGAUGAAGAGACUCGAAACUCAAAAAAAAGCAUCACCAAAAAGUGAUUCUGGUGCUGGAUCUUGUGUCGUGUUUGACAAAGUUCAAACAAUUUCUAUGCCUGAGUUAGAUUCUUAACUCGAUCGAGAUAAGCUUUAUCAAAAUCACACGAGAGAGAGAGAGUUUUAUCAGAAGAAUGUAUGUAAUUAUUAUGUCUUCUCUGGUUCUUCCAUUUGAUGGAAGUUGUGAGUAGAUUUUCAUGUAUGGUUUUCUGAAAAUGAUAAUUUCAUUUUCAGUAUUUAGAACGACUCGAAAUUGAAUUGAUUAAUAAUUAUAGCUUCAAUUACAUGUCUAAUCGAGUGGUUGUGAUUCAUAAAGCCGAGAUAGUAAUUGAAACGAUGCAAAAGAAUAAAAUCAAUAUUUAUUGAUAUUGAG